GCUAGCUAACCCUGUCCAGGGUGUACCCCGCCUUGUGCCCGAUGCUCCCUGGGAUAGGCUCCAGGUUUCCCCGUGACCCUGAAGAAGGAUAAGCGGUAUAGAAGAUGGAUGGAUGGAUGGAAAGCUAGCUAGUAGCCAGUAAUCAAAAUUUUGGUGGCUUAUCAGAUGCUAGCUGCUAACUAGCUACACGAGUUGCAUGUCUUUAAACCUACAAAAUGCAUCAGUUCAUUGAAGUUGGUGUUCAUUCUCUACAGAAUCGCGUUUGAGUCAUAAAUAUCACGACUGAGCUGCUAAUUGCUAGGCUUUUGUUAGGAAAGUGCGAGGAAUACGGUAUGUCUUGACACCGGCAUCGUGUCUGACAGCAUGCUCGUUUAUCAAACUUCCGAUAUGAAAAUACCAGCAUCUGAUACCACAUGAUACUACGCGAUGUAAUCCUAGUGCAUUCUGUUGUGCUGACGAACGGCCGACACGAAAUGACGGCGAUCUGGACGUGUUUCACGCGUCACGUUGACGAGCGAAGCGAAGCAGACCGCAAGCUGACUUGAAAUGAUGAGAAUAUCAGGAGGGAGUAUUUCUACACGUGACCUGAUGGAAACACGGCACGAGGAGUUCAUUAGCUAGAGAUACAAGGCCGCGCAAAGCUGCAGCUCAUGCAGACAAUAUAUCCGCAGACAAGCCUAGUGAAAACCAGCGGCUGAGAAGGUCAUCCUGGACGUCUCUAUCGCAUCCAUAGAUUCCAGAUCUUCCUCGGGGAUCCCCAGUCACUCCAAACUGUGAGAUGUAAUCUCUCCCACAGCUCCAGGGUCUUCAUACAGUGGUACGUGCCUGAUACCGAGGCAUAUAAACAUGCUUGAACCACCUUGACUGGCUCCUCUCAGCUCAGAGGAGCAGCGACUCUACUUCAAGACUCUACUGCGGAUUUCCUCAGCUUACCAAGGAAAGGAAGCGCAGCAGUCCAUGGGGAAGAGCAAAUGUAUUCAGAUCUUUAUUCUUUUAGUAACUAUCUACAUCUUAUGACCAUAUCUGAGGUUCGGAACUGCUUUACCACGACAGACCUCUCUACCGUGAGCGAAACACUGCAGCCGCCGACUCAAUCCGAGCCCCACACGAAUUUAUGGAGAUACUAGAGAUCCAGAUCCUUUCUGCCUCUGGAUGGAGCUCAAAUCUUCUCUAAUUCCAGACUGCUGGGACUACGGCUGCUCUUAACGCCAUACAGACUUCAUAUGAAUCCAUAAUGAACUCUUUC
ensembl:lncRNA